AGGGAAUCUUCCGCAAUGGGCGAAAGCCUGACGGAGCAACGCCGCGUGAGUGAUGAAGGUUUUCGGAUCGUAAAGCUCUGUUGCCAGGGAAGAACGUCGGGUAGAGUAACUGCUACCCGAGUGACGGUACCUGAGAAGAAAGCCCCGGCUAACUACGUGCCAGCAGCCGCGGUAAUACGUAGGGGGCAAGCGUUGUCCGGAAUUAUUGGGCGUAAAGCGCGCGCAGGCGGUCACUUAAGUCUGGUGUUUAAGGCUAGGGCUCAACUCUAGUUCGCACUGGAAACUGGGUGACUUGAGUGCAGAAGAGGAAAGUGGAAUUCCACGUGUAGCGGUGAAAUGCGUAGAGAUGUGGAGGAACACCAGUGGCGAAGGCGACUUUCUGGGCUGUAACUGACGCUGAGGCGCGAAAGCGUGGGGAGCAAAC
rnacentral:rRNA from 1 species